UGACCUCAGCUCAAGUAAGAAUACCCGCUGAACCUAAGCAUAUCAAUAAGCGGAGGA
rnacentral:rRNA from 1 species